GUUCAUUAUAAUUAACUUUCAAUAACUUUGCUUUAUCCAAUAACUUCUGAAUUUUUAUUUUAGGUUCAGGUUUUGUUUUGUUUUAGAAUAUCACCCUAUAUUUAAUGCCCAGAUGUGCAUAUAGUGUAGGACAAUCGGGUAGUAUAAUAAAGGUAGCUGUUGGAACCAGAUACGGUUACAAAGAAGUGAUAUUGAACAUACAAAUUUUAACUUUCUAAUUUCCCUUUUUUUCAUCUUUUUAGGUUUAUAAGAUAGGAAAGGGAUUAGCAAUACAUCUGCUCGCCAGGGACAACAUAGGCUCAAUUUAGAUUCAGCAGUAGAGGGUUAACCUUUCAAAUGCCACUGCUACUGCUGUAACGCUUUGAUACGUAAGCGUCUCAUAGUCUGAUAUUUAUUUUUACUCUGAUAAGUUACGGCGCAUCUGACUUAUGAAACAUUUACGGUUUACUGCAUUUAACAACAGCGUGGUCUCAAGACGGCUGCAUAGACCCACAACUAUCGACCUUUGGUUUUGUAUGUACUGGUCUUCAUAUAUCUUCAUAAUGGAUUGGUUUAGGUACAGAUGAUUAAGGAAAGGAACUUCAACUUGAUUGCACUACACCGUUGUUAGGAUUGGUUAAUUCUAAUGCGCAUGGCUGAAGCAAUGCGCAAGGAGGGAUGUAGUGUGAAUAUUAAAUCAAGGUUGAAGGUUGAAAUCAGCUCAGAAUAAGGAAUGGGACACUCAAAACAAAAAUUUAAAAUCCGCACAAGCACUAAAUAGAUCAAUUAUAAUACAAACAUGUUUGAAACGCAUACAAUUUUCAGGUCCUAUGUUUCCAGAAGCAAGGUGAGUACAGUGUAUCACUCUGACACAGCUAACUUUGCACGUAAUGCUUACGGUUAGAUUCAUGCUUACACUUACAUUUCUAGGGUCCCAUAAUGGACUUCCAUUAAUUAAAAAUAGAAUUAUAGGAAAUGUUUUUGAACAACUAACUGCUGUACAUGAGUUUGUAUUUCUACAAUAGAAACAAAAGUUCCAGAACCAGAUGCAGACACACCCGGAGCCGAUAAACUGCCUCCGCCGAGCAAGGAGCAGUCACAUGAGGAGAUCAAAUAACGGUUGGAUGGAGAAUAUGUUUGGGAGGUGGAAAAGCAUGAUCCAGUAAGUGCCCGUUGCGGGAAUAAAUGCAGAGACCGUGUUAAUUGUCACCGGCUGCCGUUGUAUUCCCUGUGCACGAGGGCUAAUGCAUCUGCUGAUCCCCACAGCAGUGGGCGCUACAGAAGCGCCAAGUGCCAUUCAGGCUUACAUGGGGAUCAGAUAUGAUCCGAU
ensembl:lncRNA